CACGUAGGGCGCAAGCGUUGUCCGGAAUUAUUGGGCGUAAAGAGCUCGUAGGCGGUCUGUCGCGUCUGCUGUGAAAACCCGGGGCUUAACCCCUGGCUUGCAGUGGAUACGGACAGACUAGAGGUAGGUAGGGGAGAAUGGAAUUCCCGGUGUAGCGGUGAAAUGCGCAGAUAUCGGGAGGAACACCGGUGGCGAAGGCGGUUCUCUGGGCCUUACCUGACGCUGAGGAGCGAAAGCGUGGGGAGCGAACAGG
rnacentral:rRNA from 1 species